rnacentral:rRNA from 1 species
GAAUAUUGGACAAUGGGGGCAACCCUGAUCCAGCCAUGCCGCGUGUGUGAAGAAGGCCUUCGGGUUGUAAAGCACUUUCAGUAGGGAGGAAAGGGUGAUGGCUAACAUCCACCAUCAUUGACGUUACCUACAGAAGCAGCACCUGCUAACUUCGUGCCAACAGCCGCGGUAAUACGAAGGGUGCAAGCGUUAAUCGGAAUUACUGGGCGUAAAGCGCGCGUAGGCGGUUUGAUAAGUGAGAUGUGAAAUCCCCGGGCUCAACCUGGGAACUGCAUCUCAUACUGUCAGGCUAGAGUACGGUAGAGGGGGGUAGAAUUCCACGUGUAGCGGUGAAAUGCGUAGAGAUGUGGAGGAAUACCAGUGGCGAAGGCGGCCCCCUGGAUCGAUACUGACGCUGAGGUGCAAAAGCGUGGGGAGCAAACAGG